GAUGAACGCUGGCGGCGUGCCUAAUACAUGCAAGUCGAGCGAACAGACGAGGAUCUUGCUUCUCUGACGUUAGCGGCGGACGGGUGAGUAACACGUGGAUAACCUACCUAUAAGACUGGGAUAACUUCGGGAAACCGGAGCUAAUACCGGAUCAUAUAUUGAACCGCAUGGUUCAAUAGUGAAAGACGGUUUUGCUGUCACUUAUAGAUGGAUCCGCGCCGCAUUAGCUAGUUGGUAAGGUAACGGCCUACCAAGGCAACGAUGCGUAGCCGACCUGAGAGGGUGAUCGGCCACACUGGAACUGAGACACGGUCCAGACUCCUACGGGAGGCAGCAGUAGGGAAUCUUCCGCAAUGGGCGAAAGCCUGACGGAGCAACGCCGCGUGAGUGAUGAAGGUCUUCGGAUCGUAAAACUCUGUUAUUAGGGAAGAACAAAUGUGUAAGUAACUAUGCACGUCUUGACGGUACCUAAUCAGAAAGCCACGGCUAACUACGUG
rnacentral:rRNA from 1 species